rnacentral:misc_RNA from 1 species
AUCCUCGAAAGGAAAGCGUCAACCGCAACUGACUGGAAUGGAUAUAAAUUGCUAAACUCCGUCAAAGAACUGGAAGUAUUAUUAGUUAGCAUCAGAAGGGCAUUAUAAGUAGCCUGAGAGUGAAAGUUGACACUGGAGCCGAUACGCACAGCGAGGCCUGGGAAGCCGAGAAGCAAAUGAGGAUCUGCAGGAUGAUUAUGCAAACAAAGUUACCACGAAAUUAAAAGCAAGAAAUUUGAGGAAGUUUCAAACGAGAGAGGGCAAAUACCAACACGUUAGGAAGGGGACGACAAUCGCCAGCCAGAUAAAUUUGUAGACUUGGAUUUUAGGAAUGCAAGAGGAAGUCGCUUUUUCAGUUGACAUAUUCAGCUCCUAUGUAUAAGAUCCUUAACUAUUCAAGUAAAUAUCUCCAUAUCUACUGCACAUAUUGUAUAUAAUAAUAAAUAAUUACUAAGUAAUAUGAUUAAGUAAAUUUAGAUUAAAUUUUAAUUAAAAAUUGUAACACACUUUCUUCAAUUAGAAAGUUAAAUAAAACACAUAAAGUCAAAAGCCAAAAACUAGAAUAUCCAAGAAAAUAAGUAUACGCAAGUCCAUAGAAUUGUUUUGCCCCCUUUAGCACUAAACGAUGCAGAGCGUUUUGAAUGAAAAGCCUAUCCAAAGUUUCAUAUUCAUCUUCAUAUCUCAUACAAUUUACUAUCAGAAAUCUUAUAAUUCUUUCAUUUUAGGCAAAAUGGAACGGAACACCCUCCCAUCUUCCACGCAAACACAGAAGGAAAUCAUCAUCUUCAGGAAUAUACCUUCAAACGAAUCACACCGUGCGAUGUUUGCUCACAAAUAUUGCGAGGUCAUACGAGGCAAGGUCUUCGAUGUCGAAUGUGUAAGAUGAACUCACACAAUCACUGCUCAUCUAAUCUACCGAAAUGUCCAGAUAGCCACAAGCCGAUUUACAAGAAGAAAAGCUUCUAUAAAUCAAUCAGAAAGGACAACUAUGCAGACAGUAGUGAAGUGGACCAACCAGAUAAGUUAGCACAGUUAGCAAUGCGCAUCAAAGGCCUUCAACAGGAACCUCACAGGAGACAAAGUGUAGCGCACAGAAGGAUAUCAGCAGAGAAGAAUUCAACCUGCAAUGUUGGAGAUAGCAGUUUGGAGCCAUCCGAUAAGUUAGCACAGUUGGCACUGCGCAUGAAACCAGAAGUACACAGAAGGCCGAGUGCACCGCCAAAGCAGAAGUCCGUUGACAAUAACACAACCUUCAAUGUGGAAGAAAGUGGACCAGCCCAACCGGAUAAAUUAGCCAACCUCGCAGUUCGCAUUAAAGGACUCCAGCAAGAACCACAUAGGAAGCAAAGCGUGCCGCGCAGAAGAGCUUCAGUUGACAGUAAUGCAUCCUAUUCUAAAACAGAAAAGUUACAGGAUACUCCGUUAACAGGUUCAUACGUAGCUUUAUACGACUUCAAAGGAAGACACGAUGACGAGAUUGAUUUGAGCGCUGGCUGCAAGAUAACCAUUACGGAUGUUUCAAAUCCAGACUGGUGGAAAGGAGAAUAUGAUGACCGGUCCGGCUACUUUCCUUCAAAAUAUUGCUGCAAACUCAACCCUGGGGAGAAACCACUACAAGUCGUCCGCAAGGCUGAUAUCACACAAAAAGCGCGGGACGGAAAUAUUCGACUGUUGAGGGAUCAAAUUGUAUUCCAGAUAGGUGAUGAGAACGAGGGAUACACGAUGAUUCGUACCGCCAGUAAUCAAAGAGGCUAUUGUCCACUUAAACAUCUCCGAGAAGUCGGCAGAGGAGACAGGAAGGACGAAAGAUCGGAUGUUUCAAGAGAUGAACAAAGGGAUCGCGUAGAAGAGCAACAAGAGGACACUCAUUCUUUAGAAGACUCUGUGUGGGAACGGCUACGAGAGAAUCAACUCAAAAGGAUGAAGAAUAUCUGCGUUGGAUAUUGCCGCGAAUUCGGAAGAAGUAAAAAAUUAGCUUGUAAGCAAUCGUUUAGCCUUAAUCCUAAUUGGUAUACGGAAAAUAUAUAUGGUAACAAAUCCAUCGAUUUAGAUAGCGACUAUCAAUCAGAUUCGUUCCGUUUAAAGAAAUUCGACAUUGCUCACGAUGAACUUCCCAUCGACGAAAUCAUCAAAAGUUGUUACAUGCGAACGUCUCAUAGUUGUAAGGAUUUAAGAUACCUCAAUCCUCAAAGCUGUUGUGUUCGUGGGGGAUAUAAAUGUGGGUCUAAACUCAUAAUCCCGAAAUCGUACUCUCUCAAUCUGAACAAGAUAAAUCCGUUCGAUGAGAUCGACUACUACCCCAAAUAUUUUGUUACUAAGAAGGAUCUAACUUUAAAUGCUGGUGAUAUUUCUCCUGAGAAUUGCUUUCGGAAUCAAUGCUCAGCGUGCUUCAAGGGUCCAGUCACUUCGAGGUUUAGAUGUCGAAAACAAACUGACCAGAACUAUGUGCGCGGCAGACGGGACUACAAAGAAAAUAAAUUGGUGCGGUCUGGCUCCCAAAAGGAAUUACCAAACACAGUAUGCAACGCGCAUUUUUGUGCAGUGUCAAACCCACAUCGGGGAUGUCCUUCCAACAUGAAAAUGCAUUCACCGCACGACUUUGAGUGCAAGCUUUGUAGAUAUGCUGUUGUUCCGUCUGAGAAGAGUAGCAGGAAUAGGGGCCAAAUUGACUUUGAUGUUGACUGGACGAUCAAGCAAAGCAAAUCUGCGAUAGAGGUCAAACCUCCUGAAAAAUAUGAUGAGUAUAGCACUUCAGACUCCACGGGUGUUGAUUUGGAAGACUUCAAUUUCGAUUUCGAGAAGUAUUGGGAGGAGAUUGAAAACGAAUCAAGUCCGGUAGAGAUGAAAGCUCAAAAGAAGUACUCCAAGAAAGGAUACGAGGACAAAAGUAGUAAAUCAAGGCACUAUCGGGACGACUCGCGAUCGAUCUCCAAGUGUAGUGAAGUAGAAGGGGCCCAAAUAAAGCAGGACCUGCUCAGCGGUAUGCUCUCUCCUCCGAACAAUGGGUACCGCCCUGCAAACUAUCACUCCCGCUCGAAGUUCAGCGCGCCGUUCAGGCGAUUCUCCUUCAAAGUAUUCCCAAAAUCCAUCAACACCCAUGACAACAUUUACAUGCAACGACAUUGCAAACAAGACUACGCAGACCGACCGCUUAAUUUGAUAAAUAAUAUUUUUUCUAUAUAUAAACCGAACAAGUAUUUACCUAUGAAUUGUUACCAGUUUAAUAAUGAUAAGCCGUUUUUUCUAAAGAAAAGUGAAUUUAUGAACCACGUUUUACAAUGCGAGGAGUCGCGUAAUGAAUACGUAACAUCCAUUAAGAGACCAUUGAUCGUGACCGCGGAUCAACCACGUUUUGAGAUUAUUCCAAGAAAGACUGGACUUCGGGUUUCACCCUUGUAUGAUUCGGGCUAUCCUCAAAGGAAGAGGCAAUUUUUGAGGAGUACUGCACGGCCGUUGUCGUUUCAUAAUUAAAAUGUAGUUUAGUGUGGAAAUGAAUAGUUGGCGGUGAUGAUUUGCUUCCAGAGAUUUUUCACUGGAAGCAAAUGGAGAUUUUUCUCUGGUUCUUAAGGUUUCAGAUCGCUGUCUAU